CAAAGGUUCUCUCAGUACGGUCGGAAAUCGUACGUAGAGUGUAAAGGCAAAAGAGGGCUUGAUUGCAAGACAUACAGGUCGAGCAAGGAUGAAAAUCGGACUUAGUGAUCCGGUGGUGCUGCGUGGAAGGGCCAUCGCUCAACGGAUAAAAGCUACCCUGGGGAUAACAGGCUUAUCUCCCCCAAGAGUCCACAUCGACGGGGAGGUUUGGCACCUCGAUGUCGGCUCAUCACAUCCUGGGGCUG
rnacentral:rRNA from 1 species